rnacentral:rRNA from 1 species
ACUCAAAGGAAUUGACGGGGACCCGCACAAGCGGUGGAGCAUGUGGUUUAAUUCGAUGCUACGCGAAGAACCUUACCUACUCUUGAAUCCACGGAAUCUGGUAGAAAUGCUGGAGUGCCUUCGGGAACCGUGAGACAGGUGCUGCAUGGCUGUCGUCAGCUCGUGUCGUGAGAUGUUGGGUUAAGUCCCGUAACGAGCGCAACCCUUAUCCUUAGUUGCUAACGAGUAAAGUCGAGGACUCUAGGGAGACUGCCGGUGACAAACCGGAGGAAGGUGGGGACGAUGUCAAGUCAUCAUGGCCCUUACGAGUAGGGCUACACACGUGCUACAAUGGUCGGUACAAAGGGCAGCCAAACCGCGAGGUGGAGCAAAUCCUAUAAAAGCCGAUCUUAGUCCGGAUUGGAGUCUGCAACUCGACUCCAUGAAGCUGGAAUCGCUAGUAAUCGUGGAUCAGAACGCCACGGUGAAUACGUUCUCGGGUCUUGUACACACCGCCCGU